UACGUAGGGUGCAAGCGUUGUCCGGAAUUAUUGGGCGUAAAGAGCUCGUAGGUGGCCUGUCGCGUCGGCUGUGAAACUCGGGCUCAACUCCGAGCGUUGCCAGUCGAUACGGGCAGGCUAGAGUUCGGCAGGGGAGACUGGAAUUCCUGGUGUAGCGGUGGAAAUGCGCAGAUAUCAGGAGGAACACCGGUGGCGAAGGCGGGUCUCUGGGCCGAUACUGACACUGAGGAGCGAAAGCGUGGGGGAGCGAACAGG
rnacentral:rRNA from 1 species